AGCCCAUUAGAGGAGAAUGGAAAACUUCUAACAGGAUAAGAACUGAGUUGUUCCUGUAUCCCUCGUAGGAGGGCUCUGUACAGACCUC